GGAAUAGUUGAUGUGCUCCAAUUCUGUGCAUUCACAGAGGUCUUUUUCUUAGGUGGCUUUACAGAAUUUCUGUUCUCCUUGCUGUAACUCAUUUAAUUAUUUUC